GACGAACGCUGGCGGCGUGCCUAAUACAUGCAAGUCGAACGCAUUUUCUUUCACCGUAGCUUGCUACACCGAAAGAAAAUGAGUGGCGAACGGGUGAGUAACACGUGGGUAACCUGCCCAUCAGCGGGGGAUAACACUUGGAAACAGGUGCUAAUACCGCAUAAUUCCAUUUACCGCAUGGUAGAUGGGUGAAAGGCGCUUUUGCGUCACUGAUGGAUGGACCCGCGGUGCAUUAGCUAGUUGGUGGGGUAACGGCCUACCAAGGCUGCGAUGCAUAGCCGACCUGAGAGGGUGAUCGGCCACACUGGGACUGAGACACGGCCCAGACUUCUACGGGAGGCAGCAGUAGGGAAUCUUCGGCAAUGGACGCAAGUCUGACCGAGCAACGCCGCGUGAGUGAAGAAGGUUUUCGGAUCGUAAAACUCUGUUGUUAGAGAAGAACAAGGAUGAGAGUGGAAAGUUCAUCCCUUGACGGUAUCUAACCAGAAAGCCACGGCUAACUACGUG
rnacentral:rRNA from 1 species